rnacentral:rRNA from 1 species
UCGAGCGGCAGCACAGACAAACUUGUUUCUCGGGUGGCGAGCGGCCCUUGGGGGAGUAAUGCCUGGGAAAUUGCCCUGAUGUGGGGCAUUACCAUUGGAAACGAUGGCUAAUACCGCAUGAUGCCUACGGGCCAAAGAGGGGGACCUUCGGGCCUCUCGCUUCAGGAUAUGCCCAGGUGGGAUUAGCUAGUUGGUGAGGUAAGGGCUCACCAAGGCGACGAUCCCUAGCUGGUCUGAGAGGAUGAUCAGCCACACUGGAACUGAGACACGGUCCAGACUCCUACGGGAGGCAGCAGUGGGGAAUAUUGCACAAUGGGCGCAAGCCUGAUGCAGCCAUGCCGCGUGUGUGAAGAAGGCCUUCGGGUUGUAAGCACUUUCAGUAGGGAGGAAGGUGGUAGUGUUAAUAGCGCUAUCAUUUGACGUUACCUACAGAAGAAGCACCGGCUAACUCCGUGCCAGCAGCCGCGGUAAUACGGAGGGUGCGAGCGUUAAUCGGAAUUACUGGGCGUAAAGCGCAUGCAGGUGGUUUGUUAAGUCAGAUGUGAAAGCCCCGGGCUCAACCUGGGAAUUGCAUUUGAAACUGGCAAACUAGAGUACUGUAGAGGGGGGUAGAAUUUCAGGUGUAGCGGUGAAAUGCGUAGAGAUCUGAAGGAAUACCGGUGGCGAAGGCGGCCCCCUGGACAGAUACUGACACUCAGAUGCGAAAGCGUGGGGAGCAAACAGGAUUAGAUACCCUGGUAGUCCACGCCGUAAACGAUGUCUACUUGGAGGUUGUGGCCUUGAGCCGUGGCUUUCGGAGCUAACGCGUUAAGUAGACCCGCCUGGGGAGUACGGUCGCAAGAUUAAAACUCAAAUGAAUUGACGGGGGCC